rnacentral:rRNA from 1 species
CCUAGUGGCGAACGGGUGAGUAACGCGUGGGAAUCUGCCUUUUGGUUCGGAAUAACACGAGGAAACUUGUGCUAAUACCGGAUAAGCCCUUACGGGGAAAGUUUUAAUGCCAAAAGAUGAGCCCGCACUUGAUUAGCUAGUUGGUAAGGUAAUGGCUUACCAAGACUGUGAUCAAUAGCUGAUUUGAGAGGAUGAUCAGCCACACUGGGACUGAGAUACGGCCCAGACUCC